GGCUCCUCCCAGCACCCCUCCCCCGGGCCCUGGCUGGACGAGAAACAGAGAUGGUGGCAGCAGAAACUGGAGCCCCGGCGCCGGAGCGGCCGCGAGGGGCCGGGGCCUUUGAGGGCUUCGCUGCUUCUUGCCAAGGGCCGAGAAAGUGUGUAGAAUUGAAGGGAAGAAGUUCCGGAGAGCCAGAAACUUCCGGAAGCACUUGAUUCCACGAUUAAAGACUACCCGGCUCUACUGCUCACCCGCUGUGUGGCUUUGGGGAAGUUACUUGGGGACUUCAGUUUUCUCUGAAAAACCGGCAACUCGGGUCACGUUUUUUUCCCAAGCUCAAUCAUUCAGAGAAGAGAGGAAAUCUGGCGGUCAGGUUGCUCCCGGAGGAUAGAGGGGAGAUGGGUUGCAGGAGGAGUGAGGUGUGUGGCAGAAAGAAGAAUCCUGGCUGGUGCAGAGCAUCGGAGUCGCAAAAGCCAGGAGCACGUUUCCAGGGGUCUAUGGCUGUCUCCACCGUUGCCCAGAGCUCAGCCACAGGCCCGUUAGCAGAAGAAAGCAUCGUUUGUGAAGACCUGAAGAAGAGCUCAAGAAUGAGUAGCAAAUUUAGGGCAGCCCUGAGGAAGAACUUAAUGCCAGUGAAUGAAUGCUCUCAGGAUCUAGUCAAUCUCCUGCUUAAAGCUAUUCGGUGGCUACUGAAUGACUAUUCCUCAUGAUCCACAUUCCUGGACCCUGCGUGAUCUGGCCUCGUCUUACACGUUGCCCGUUCUUCAACUUUAACCUUUAGGAAUACUGAACCAUUUGUUCACCUGCACACACAUAGCUUUUCAUGGGUUGCGUCUGCUCAUCUCCAACUCAGUUUGCCUAGGAACUCCUACUCAUUUGGCAGUGCUCUGUUCAGACGUAGAUUCUGUGAGGGUUUCUCUGACCUGUUCCUACCCUCAGGACAAAGAGUCUGUCAGCUCCACUGUAAUGGACUGUGUCCACUAUUCUAGUCACCCCUGAACCCCCGCCCUGCAUUGAUUGAAUGGAUUCCUUUCUUAGCCUGACUCCUGUGUCAUGUACAUUAUUUAUCAUUGUUCCCAUUACACUAUAUGUGUUUAUAUAAUUGUGCAACCCCUCAGCUAUGCUCAGAAGGAUAGAAAGAUUCAUUCUGUUUCUAGAAAUUCUUCCUGUGGAAGAUGCUCUUGUUGCCUCCUCAAGAGGGAAUAACCCUGCGGUCUUUGCUAACAGACCUUGGUCUUGUUCAAGGAGCCAUGUGCCCAGAGAUACCUCUGCCAGUGACUGGUUGAGGAGUGGUCUACUUCUGACCAAUGAGACACAAAGGACUAGUCUUUAGGGGGCUUCUGGAAAAGUUUGUCUGCUUGAAAAGAAGAAAUGAGAGAAGAAAAAAUGGCCCCUUGUACACCUUUCCUUCUCUUCCUGUUUGGGACACUAUUUUAUGAGGGUGUGAUAUUUGGAGCUGUGACACCCAUCUUUGACCAUGAGACAAAGGUCAAGAGAAGCACAGAUACAUGGAUCCCGCAUCAUGGCAUUAUGGAGGAACUAAACAAACCCCAGACCCCCGCUACCUUCCAACCUGUUGUUAUGUGAGGUAAUUAAAUGACCUGCUUGCUUAAGACACAAUUUAUUGGGGGAGGGGGGGAGAGACACAAUUAGUUGGCUUUUCUGAUAUU